AUAAAAAAUAUCAGCGGUGACUUUUUACACAGGCAGAUUUUGAUAGGUCAAGGGGGAACAGUUUUAAACUAAGAGAGGGGAGAUUGAGAUUUGAGAUUUGAUGUUAGGAGGAAAUGCUUCACUCAGAGGGUGAUGAGGCCCUGGAACAGGUUGCCAAGAGAAGCUGUAGAUGCCCUGUCCCUGGAGAUGUUCAAAGUCAGGUUGGAUGAGGCCCUGGGCAACCCACUCUAGUGGGUGUCAUCCCUGCCCUUGGCAGUGGGGUUGGAAUGAGGUUAUCUUGGCCUCAAGGGCACAUUGCUGACUCAUGGUUAGCCUGUUGUCCACCAGGAAUCUCAGAUCCCCCUCUGCAGAGCUGCUCUCCAGCAGAUCAGCUCCCAGCCUGUACUGGUACUUGGGGUUAUUCCUUCCUAGGUGCAGGACCUGGCACUUGCUUUUUUUAAACUUCCCGUGGUUGGUGAUUGCCCAGCUCUCAAAUGCUACGUUCAAAGUAGAUAAUCAAGUUGUACAUCUUACAAGCUAAUUUUCUGCCUGCUUAAAAUCAAAACCAGAAGGAUUUUUGAUGAUUAGGUAUGAUUAAGGGUGCACCUAAUUUCCGUGUAUAAUGUCAGACUUUAAAUAUAUGACAGUGGGAAAUAAGCUUUUUCAAAUUUGUUUUAUUUCAUAGGUAGAGAGAUGAACUUUAAAAGUGGCCAAGAAUAUUAGAUCACUUUCUCUGCGGUGUUGAAAACAUUCUUGUCUUAGAAAGUAUUUCCUUUCACUUUCAAGUGAUGGCAAGAUCACAGGUCAAAGAGCUGAAAACUGAAUUCAAAUGACUUUUGAAUUAUUUAAAAAACUUGAAAUAUUGAACAAAGGUAAGGAAUUCUUCAGUUCAUUAAAUAGUUUCUUAAUUUCUUUGCUUUGAAGUUAAAAAGAAGGCAUGGAGGAAAUGAGAAGGAAGGGCACCCGUGCUCUUCUCUCUCAAAACACACAGACAAAAACACCAAUAAUAAGGAGAGGAACAGAAAGGCUUCUUGACAUGGAAAAUAAACAUACAUCUAGUUUCUGUGGCUUGCCAUUUCUAUAAAUAAAACAUGAACUACUAUACAAGUUCAACGCAUAACUGAGUAGACAGUUCCUAGUGGUCAAAUAGACUUUAAAACUAACUGGGUUCAACAAAAAGCAUUGCCUGUUUUCAGUCUGUUUGAAUACAGAAAUGACUUGUGAAAUGACACUGUCAGUCUUGUGGACGCUGGACCCAAUAACCCUUGAGAUUGUCGAGUGUCAACCAUAUGUGAUAAAAGGCUACAUGUUUUAAAGAUAAUAUGUUUCUAAAAGUUUCAUGAAAAUGGGGGAUAGGUAGGGGUACUGACCAAAAGAAAAGCUAUAGUCUUAGAAGUCCGUUUGAUUAGAGAAUUUCUAUUAUGGCAGUUAUGUGCAGGUGUAUGCCCUAAAUAUUAUUCAGACCUCACAUAUGCUCACAAACUUAGUAGACAUCAAAAAGUCUUAACACUGCAUGCAAAUCCACAGGGAACAAGGUUUCAUUAUUUCUGCUGCUUAUCAUAGUGCUUAUUUUAAUAUGAACAAGAAAAAAAGGGACUGAAGUAAAAAUAUUAACCCAGAGAAGCAGAGAAGGAUAGACCUUGGGCUAUUUAACGUGUGUCUGUAACCUGCAGUGAUUAAUAUUAUUAGCAAUUAAUGCAAAAGUGAAAAAUAUGACAAACAAAGAAGAGGAGAAAGCUCAGUGAUACAGGGGAAGAUGUAUGAGGAAUGGCUAGGCCACUUCAUUUGUUCAGCUCAGAGAAGUCUGAGGGGUGACCUCAUCAUGGCCUACAGCUUCCCGAUGAGGGGAGCAGACGGACAGGCGCUGAUCUCUUCUCUCUGAGGACAGUGACAGGACCCAAGAGAAUGGCAUGGAGCUGUGACAGGGGAGGUUCAGGCUGGAUGUUAGGAAAAGGUUCUUCACCAAGAGGGUGGUUGAGUACAGGAACAGGCUCCCCAGGGCAGUGGCCACAGCAUCGAGUCUGCCAGAGUUCAAGCAAUUUGGACUCAAGCAUCUGGACAAUGCUCUCAGGCAUAUGGUUUGAUUUUUAGGUAGGAGCUGGACUUGACGAGCCUUGUGGGUCUCUUCCAACUCAAGAUAUUCUAUGAGAUCACUUGGUUUACUGAGCGUCAGCAAACAACACAUGCUAUCAAACAGCCAAUGUAUGGUGGUAAUGUAGAGGAACGUCAUCUAUAUAUGAAUAAAGAAUACCAGACAUAUUUACAGGAUUGGAGACUUUAUUAUAGGAAGAAGUGAAUAUAACACAAUCUUGAAUAAAUGUUAGAUAAUUGACUGAAAAGUAGCUGGUUCCAUGCUGCACCCACAGUAAAAGGAAUUAAAACAAGAUAAAGAGGAAAUUUCUGUCUGUACUUUUCUCUUCCUCUUGACACAAUUUGUGUACUUUUUCCUUCCAUGUAAAAAAAAGCAAUUACUAAGAGCUGUUUUGCUGCGCAAAAUGAAUAAAACUGCUAACAGUGUGAUGAGAAUAAUCAGCUUGCUUCCCAUUAAAGAGAACCCCUUUAAAAUACUGUCAAUACAUAAGAAUGACCAUGCUGGACCAGAUGCAAAGCUCAUUUUGUCCUUCCUGUCUCUGACAGGGAACAAUAGAAGAUGCUUAAGGAAUUGUGUAAAAACAAGAUAAGCAUAUAGUGGUACUUUUCCAACCAGUUCCCUAUCCUUCUGCAGUGUUUAGAUGAGCAGCUUUCUGUGCCAGAGAGGUUUUCUGUGUUCUUAAAAUUUAAAGUGUAUUUCCUUUCUGUGUAACUGUCUAGCAAUUCCUUGAAUCCGUUUACAUUUUUAGCAGCAAAAUAUAUUGUGAUUAGGAGUUAACAGCUUAACUAAACGGUGUGUGAACAAGUACUUUCUUUUGUUAUUGAACCUGCCAUCAGAUUGUUCAACUAUCUUUUGUAGUGGAAGGGACACCAAGCAUAUGAGCCUUCUGAAUCUGCCCAUGAUUUUAAGUCCCUUCAGUCUUUUUACUGUUUUGCCUAGGUCCAGAAACAUGUCAGUGGGGAGAGCAGAAGAAUUGGGCCUAGUUCCCAUCACAGGAGAAAAAUAGUCAGGAAAGAAUCUAGCCUGUGAAAGGAUAAUUUCUCAUAGUUGAUGGAAGUACUUAAUCUGGACUCUUGUUCAGAGGAAAAUAGGAUAAAAAGAGAAAAUACCAAAUCUGAUGACCAUGAGCUGUAGCUGGUUGGAAAGGCAAAGCAAAAAAGAAAACCCACAAUGGUUGAUUUCUAAUAUGGAACACCUUGAAGGUGUCAAACCAGUACUAAAUACAGGCCACUAUCACAUGAUCAUCAUACUUCAUCAGUGGAGCCAAUCUGAGUCUUACCUAAGAGACUGAAUGCUGUUCCUUGGUUCUGAGUUCCUUAAAAAGCUGACUGUAUGGCUGUACUCUAUCUCCAGCCUUCUGCAUUGAUCGUCUCACUGCAGAAGUUUUCUUCUUGUUACUGACUACACAAUCCUAGUCUUCUAUUAAAUGACCCUUAGUCUUCUAUUAGAUAGACCCCUCUUUAAGCAAGAAUUUGGAUCAGGUGACCUCCUGAGUUCCCUUGCAGCUUGAUUUAUUCUAUGAUGCUGCAUUUCUUCUUAAUACUUGCAGGCCUUCUUUCUCUCAGGGAACUCUGUAUAACUGACUUUGUACUCUUUCUUUUCCUUCCUUCCUUCCUUCCUUCCUUCCUUCCUUCCUUCCUUCCUUCCUUCCUUUCUUUCUUUCUCUCUCUCUCUCUCUCUCUCUUUCUCCACAAAAAUUUGUGCCACUUUGAAGUAUUUUCUGUGUUGAAAGUCCAACACGAAACUCAGCCUUUUUCUAGACGUGUGGAGAUGAUAGCAAUAAAAAAGUAUACAUUUGUUUUCUUCUGAUAUUUAGGAAUUUUUAGGAGAUCAGAAACAAACAAAAACCCAUAUAAAUGUGACAUUUUCUGGUGAUCAUCAAUUAUAAAAGGUCUGUACCUGAAAAAAAAACUUGUCAAAUAUGAUGCUGUAGGUGGUGUCCAUAAUUCUACUUAUGUUCAUAAAUUGCUAAUACAUGCACACACAAAAAGACAGAAAGUCAUAGAAAACUGAAGAUACUCUCCACAUUAUAAUUUUUUGGGUACGGAAUUUCCUGCUGUUUUACUGGUACAUAAAGAGCAUAUAUCCCUUAACCACAAAGGACUCUUAAGAGAUUUUCUUAAUUCAGACAGAAAGCUGUAACUUUUGCAAUGCAAAGUGGUAUUACUAUCGCUGGGCAAGGUAGAAAGUAGAGAGUAGUCCCUUUAUUCAUGUGGGGCGUGUGUGCAACAUUGUUCAACAAGGCUCCUGGUAAAAAAUGAAAGUGAAAUAAGCUGGAAUUUGGAAGCUUGAUAUAUCAUUACAAAACAGAAGGAAGUUGAUGGUUACUUGCGAGUCCUUUGGCUUUCUAGAGAAUCCAGAAAUCACUCAAAUGUAAUGAAAUGUAGCUGUAUAAAGUAUCAGCCACAAUUCCUAUAUCCACCUGCAUAUUUAAUUAAAAAGACAGCGUGUUAAUAUAAUUCAGAAUACUUAAACCCCCCUAUGAUUACAUUCAUGUAUGUUGGUCUCUUAAGUUCUGAGCAAUUCACGCUCUCAGUGUACUUGGUUCCUUGAGAUCUGUAAAAAGCCAUAAAAUGAUAAUUUGAAUGGACUAUGAAACUAUAUUAAAUAUGAAUGAUUAGAAAUAUUCUUUUUUUUUUUUUUUCUAACUUCCUAAAAACCUUAGGACCAAAUGGACAGAAAUUUAAACACCAACACCACAUGGACAGUUUGUUUCCUAUGGACUUUCAGAAAUGCAAGCAGAAGCUAAUAGGGAAUGGAAUAGCAUACUAUGCUAUGGAAUAGCGUACUAUAGCUACCAUACUCCUUUUAGCAAGUGCCCUAUAGAAAACGUUAUUUGUGGGUAUCUUAGUUUUUAAGUGUCUGAUUUUCCAUUCCUGGGAUCAAAUUUCCAAAGCGGUUGUACUCUCAGGCUACAUAUUGAUUCAGAACCUGCUAAGCAAGUCCUAAAUAUGACACACAAAUAUAGUGCAACUGUAAAUUAGAGGCUACUUUUGAAAAAGUUGCCCUUUCUUUCUUAGGUCAUCCUACCCUGAAACAAAUUGUCCUGUGAAGUCACAAAGCUCUGAGCAGCUGCUGUCUGCAGACUAUGCAAUGUAGUGGUCCAUCUGUUGCAUUUAGAAAGUAUGCUUCAUGGAUCUCAAUAAGAUGAAAACUCUGUAAAUUUUCAGAGACUGUUCUAGGCUCCCUUUCCAGUUAGUAUUGAGGGACAAUGACGUUGUGUGGCUGCUCUGUAGAAGUAUUGGUUUUCAAUCUGAAAUAUGAAAGCAACAGAGAAUUAAGGAUAUGGACAGCUGCAGUCAAAAAACAGCUUGACAGUUAACUCUUGCUUACUGACCCACUGCAGCUGAUGUGCCCUGCUGACUCUCCCUAAAGGGCACAAUGUAAUCUUUUUCAUGAUCAGUGGAAGUACAGUGCUACAGUAGGGAUGAAUUGCGAGUUAUGUUCAUCAGAACUGUGAGUUUUUCUUGAAAUAUAUUAAUGAAUAUUUCAACUGAGCUAUUCAUAUGGCUGUGGUAAAGCAUGCGCCUAGACACCUUGCAGGUCUGGGGCUGCUACACGGAGUGUCUGAAAAGGAUCAUGAAAUAAUGGGCAGGAAAUGAUGCAUUUCAGAAAAUGCAGGCUGUGUCAUUCACCAGUGGGCAAAUCUCUUUAUGAACAACCACAGUUUUUUGUUUUUUUUUUUUUAAUACCUGAAUCACCCGGCAUAUAAAGGCUUCCAAAAAUAAAAGAUAUGGUUCAAAAUAGAAAAAUACAUGUUCGGUCAGCCAGAGCUGUUAAAUAUACCAUAAUCAAAGUAAUAUAUAGCAACGAGGUACCUGGCAAAUUUCCAUCACAAAAAAUUCUGAAGAUACCUUUUUUUUUAAUAGCAUAGAUUGCACACGGUUGUAUAAAUAAUAAAGACAAUCAAAGCCAAUUGGUGAACUAGAUAACAAAAAAAUCCGUCACUUUUAUAUACACAAUACAGAGGAAAAAUAUGAAAUGAUUGAGAUUAGGAAAAAAAAAUAGUAAUUUUUAGACAAGCAAAUCCACAAUUAGCAAACAGAAAGUUGUCAAGGAAAUAAUCUGCUUUUGUGCUUGACUAACUUAUUUAUUGUAGGUAGGACUGUCAGAAACAGUCUAAUCUUCUAUUAGUUUUCUGAACAGUUAACAGCUAACAGAGCUAAAUCAAUUUUUGUCACAUACUCCUUAACUCAGAAUCAGUUUAAUUCUAUCAGUUAUUCAUUUAUUUCAUUAAUCUUAUUCUUGGAAGGAGCUUUGUAUUUGAAUAACAUACACAGUCAUAAUGUUUUUGUCAGUAAUAUAUAAGCCAAGGCCUGAAACAAAGUCAGAGAAAUUGUCUUACCUUUUAUCUAUCUUUUUUUUUUUCUUAGUGCUUGAAUCUUUUUGCACUGACAAUGGCAGUUUCGAUAUGUAACAACUCAGUGGAAGCAGAAUCUGAUCUUUUAUUAGAACACUGUUAUGUACCCUAUGGGAACAGGAAAUUUGAUUUUGGAGCCAAGAACGUAAAUUAGGGAAAGAUUUUUUUUUUUUUUGUAAACAAUUUAAUGGUCUAUGCCGGAAAAAAAUAAUUCUUGAAGUACAUCAAGUGGUCUGGUUACUGCAGGUACGAUUUCUGAAAGUGACCAGAGCUAUGUUCAACAAAUAUUUGGAGGGACUGUCAGACUGACGGGUGACCAUGUUAGUGUUUGGGUUCUAAAGCUCAGGCCAGGACUUUUGCUAUGUGCAGUGACCAUGAAAGAGUUUCUUCUAGGGGAUACCACAAUUAAAUUUGGAAGCCGUAUUUAUGUGAUACAACUGUUCCCAGCAAUAGAGAAUGUGAAUCUGAUAGAGUAUGAUUGUAUCUUCUGAUACUGUGAACUACUAUGCCAUAAUAUCUCAAAGCUUUGCUUUAAAUACAAGAGCCUAGGAAAGAAAGAAGAAUGUCUCUUUACUGGAAAAAAACAUUGCCUCCAAGGAUGAGUCAAAGGUGUUUCAUUCAUUUAGUGGUGGCACAGAAAAUUCAAAAGAUAUUACAGAAGCUUAGCAGUAAAACCAUCCUACAUGUUAUUUCAAAAUACCUUGUUCAGUCAUUUAAAUUUUGGGUUUAGAUACUAUGUCAGAGAAGUCUCAUUCAUGUAUGUAUGUAUGUAGGUAGGGCCUGAUGUCUACAUAUGUCUACAUACAUAUGGUAAUUUUCUUCUUAAUAGCUGUAUGCAAGCUCAAAAUACAGGGCAGCACUUUACAUGCUUUCUCUUGAUAUCUUUCACAUGAAUACAAACACACAGACAUUGCAACUGUAAGUUAUCAAGUACCGUAUCUUUGUGCCUCUCAUUCAUAUGAAAACAUGAAAGCAACUAUGUGGUAUGGUGUAUUUGAGUGUGCUUCAGCUGGAGCUAAUGCACUCAGAGAUGUGCUGACUAGUGAACAGUUGCAGUGAACUCUUUACAUCCUUGGUGACUUCACAAAUCUCUGCCAAUACUGCCAGUGUCUUACAUAUCCAUUUGUGUAUCCUUUAAAUUUGAUUUCAUCCCUUCUCCCAAGUUCUCCAUAUGAGUUUAUGAGUGCCAAGCUUUAAUGCUCCAGUACAAUGUAACUUAUUUGCGGGUCUUUAUUAAUCUCAGAUAAUCAAGAUUUGUGGGCACAAAAUCUCACUUUUAUGCAUAGAAAGUUCUGUAUAAUUCCAGUGUUUCUUUAUGCAUGCUGCAGACUGAAAAAUACAUUUAAUUCAUCAACAGCAAGUCAGGUAUACUUGGGGACAGGCUAGCAAUGUCAAAUUGACACCUCACAUCUGUCUUUCAACCUUAGAAUAUGUGAGUGGUUCUUCUCAUUCAGGUUUCAGUGUUUGCAUGGCCAUUCUCUGGACUGUUGCCUUUUGUGGGGUGAUGCAGUUCUCAGAGUGAAAGGUAUAGUGACAGUGUAAUUAAUGAUGUGAUAUUUCCGUGCUGUUUACUUAACUGUAUGUAUAAUAUUUUUAGUGAAAGCAGUUAGUAAAGAUGCGAGUUCAGUUAGAAGUCUCAAAUAAAAUAUCAGCUCUACAAAUAAACAGGCCACAAGGAACUGAGAUAAAAUUAUAUUUUCCCAUUUGGAGUAUACUUCACUGAAUUUCACAAGAUCAAUGAGACGUACAUUCUUAGGCCUUUCACCAGUAUCUCAGUCAUAAUCUGCUUAGAUUGAUUUGUCUGAAUAGUUGUACAUCUCAGCAUUAAUCUCUUUCUCUGGUGGAAACUUACAUGAACAUAUGCUUACACCUAAUUGUUGAACACUGAAGUAAAAAUAAUGCUAUAUU